rnacentral:piRNA from 1 species
UCCAUAGGUUGUGAAUGGUGUCUUGGUCU